AUGAAAAUGUAUUCUACCAACUUGAAUAUUAGAGUCAGAUUAAAAAUGAUUGCACAUAUGUUAAUAAAAAGUAGAAUAUUAGGUCAACCUCAACACUCUCACAAACAAAUAACUACAAAUAAUUUCCUUCAUCCACAUAGUCAAUCUUUGUCAUUCUGUUGCCUAGCCCACACAAUCGCAACCUCAGCCUUCUGGGUUCAAAUGAUUUUCAUGCCUUAGCCCCCACUGCCCUCCCACCCCCACAAGUAGCUGAGGUUAUAGGCACGUAGCAACAUGACUGGCUAAUUUUUGUGUUUUCAAUAGAGACAGGGUUUUGCCAUGUCAGCCAGGUUGGUCUCAAACUCCUGGCCUCAAAUGAUAUGCUUGCCUUGGCCUCCCAAAGUGCUGGGAUUACAGGUGGGAGCCACAGCACCUGGGCCACCUAGUCAGUCUUUUAUAAUUAACUAGAACUUGAGAAAAUUCUUCUUAUUCUAGAUCUUCUGAUAGCAGUUUAAUUUCCAAAUCCUGGGAUAAUGUCUGACAGUUUUCUAAGCAAUGAUAGGUUUAAGCUCUGAAACAUGUACUCAUGAAUCUAUUCCUUAAAAUGUUAAUGCUCUCUUGUUGUAUCCUUUCUACAUGGCUCUGAGAAUAUCCUUUAUUGAAAAUUCAGUUUCUGGCCUCAAGUUUAGAACAGCACCUUCAGACAAAUACCAGAGGAAAUGGUGGGAUGAAUGCCUACAAGAAGCGGCAAAAGGAAGAUGAUCUCUUUCUUCUCUAUGUGAGGAUGUAGCAAGAAGGCAACCUUAUGAAAACCAGUAAGAGGGACCCAACCAGAUAACAAAUCUUCAGGCACCUUGAUCUUGGACUUACCAGGCUCCAGACUAUGAAAAUAAAUGUUUAUUGCUUAAGCCCCCACCCUAGCCUAUAUAGUAUUCUGUUACAGCAGCCCAAACUGGCAUAUAAAACUCUCUUUCCUCAAACAUUCUACAACUACCUAUAUGAACUCAAGUUUCAUUUUCAUAGUGAUCUUUCAUAUUCUCAAGCAACCUGAUACUUUUUCCUGAGAACAAAACUACUAUUUUCCCUGAAAAACAAAAACAUAUUUCAUUAUUUUUCAUAUGUUGCUGUAUUUAUUUCCCAUUAUUAUUUCUAGUGAAACUCAAAAUAUUUUACAGUUACUCCAUAAGGAGUAAAUGCUUUUCUGGUUAUUCAAGGUCAGCAAUAGGUCAAAAUAAUAUUGAAAGAAGGACAGUCUUACAUCCAAAUAUUUAAAGCUAUCCUCCUUUUCAAUAAGCAAGAAGUGUUUUCCUAAAUGAUAUAAUGUAUUAUGUUGAAUAUAUAAACGAAA
rnacentral:lncRNA from 1 species